CCCGCUUCCUGGUCGCCACACCGCCCUCUGGUUCGCACACAGCACCGGAGAAACCGGAGAAACCGGAGAAACCGGGAACGGCACAUGGGGCACCUCCGUGCUAUUUUUGCAACUUACUCUCAACAGAAGCCAUGAACAGCAUAUUGGAUAUAACAGAUAGCUAAACUAAUGACUCUAGAAAUUCUCUGAGCACCCAGAAGAAAAGAUAAAGAGGCGAAAAUAAUAAAUAACAAGACAAGAAAAAGGCAAGAACGCAAAAUAUCUGUUGGGUAUUCCUGGAGAUUCCAGAAGGCAAGCGUGAGCAGAGAAGUAAUGAUGGAAGAAAUAAGAGAUGAAAAGUGAUCAAAUAUAGAAAUUAUAUAAGCCAUGUUGUGAUAAUAAUGCAAUAAAACUAAAAUUCAAUAGUACAAGGAAAAACAGGGAAAAAUAAAACCUAUUUCAAACUAAAAGAGCCUCCAAAAAAAAUCAUGAGUAGGAGAGGAAAAGAACACAGCCAUUGUGGGUUUUUAUAAAACAACAGUCAUGGCAUAGGAAUGUUCUGAGAAGAAAACUGGUAUUUUUUUUGUCUUGUUUUUGAGACAGGGUCUCACUCGGUCACCCAGGUUGGAGUGCAACGGUGCCAUCACUGCUCACUGCAGCUUCCACUGCUUGGGCUUAAGCGAUCCUCCCGUCCCAUCCUCCUGAGCAGCUGGAACUACAGGCACACGCCGCCAUGCUCAGCUAAGUUUUAAAUUAUUUGUGAAGAUGGGGGUCUCACUAUAUUGCUCAGGCUGUUCUGGAAUUCCUGGGCUCAAGUGAUCCUCCUGCCUCAGCCUCCCAAAGAGCUGAGAUUACAGACGUGAGCCACUGUUCCCUGGGGAAAACUGAUAACUGGAAUGUGUUUUACAAAAUUCAACAGAAAUGAAAAUAAAUGUUGUAAUUAAGAAGCAGGAUAGUAAAGAACAAACUAAACUAGAGGGAAGGAGAAGAAAGGGUAAGCUGAGAAAUUCAUGACUCAGAGCGAGUGGUAUCAAUGACACUGAGAGCGGGUUCUCUGCAACAGACAAGCCUCUGGCAAGGUUAAUCAAGGAAGAGAGAGCGCAAACCCCAACCUCCACACACCUUCAUGAGAAGAGGAAGAGCUGCAAGGAGAGGCCAGGCCGGCAGGGAGGGCUGUGGGCAACUCAGCAGGAGGGGCUUCUGGGAGGCUGAGCAUGGACGAGGGAGCCCCGGGGAAAGGGCAGGGCAGGCUCUCAUUUCCCAGGAACACCCGUCAGCCCCACCUUUGGGGACAGGGAGCAGCCUCAUAAAAGGGAAACAUGUUGCGUCCCUCUCCACACGAGCUCUUGGUGAGAAAAACCCGGCUGCUAGGCCCUGUGGGUGACAGCCGUGAUAUUCUUUCUGUGCUGGUGCAGACAGGCUCCCAGGACAGGGGUGGAGGGGACAGCAGGCCAGGGCACCCCCACCUAGGCCUGCUUGUGGCCUGUCCCCAGGCCAUUCACCGGCCCCCACUCCCCAGCGUGGCUGUGCUGUGUGUGGAGAGAAGGCCACCAUCAACCUAGGUGCUUACCUCAGAAUGUGCCAGGAGCUUGAGAAGUCUUGAGGCUCUGAUGGCCGGGAUGAGACUUCGAGAGAAAUACAGGACCGGCGGAAGAGGAGGCCGGGACAGAAGGUGGAUGUGCACCGGCCUCCCACUCCUCGCUCACCCAGGGGUUCCCACCUUAGGAGUCACUAGUCAUGCAUCCUGGGAUCCAAUCUGCGCCUCCAGAAUCCCGGGGCCCUCGGUCUGGGCAGGCCAGGACACAGCCACCUUGGAGCUGUCCAAAAUGCCUCACUUUCUAGGUUUGUCCCACUGACUUAAGACAAAGGUGACAAAGCCUGUGGUUUCCUUCUCCAGGUGUGGACACCCUGUGAGUGGUGGGGGCACGCUCCCGUUCUUUGCUCAGCCCAGCCGGGGGCCUUGGGGAGCCUCACCCAGGUCCUCAGCCUCACCUUCAACCUCAGGCCAGCUCCCACGCCUCAGGAUCGAAGGUGCAACCUCCAGAACAGAAACACACCCCAGGAAGCAGCUUCCGCUCCGAGGAGGUGCUCUGAGGAGUGUUGAAGGCCGUUUUCUCCACCCACACUUUUGUGAAGAGCAAAGUAGGAUGAUUUUCAUGCAUGAGGAGAGGCAAGGUCGCUGGUGGGGCAGGCUUUCCCGAGCAGGAGUGAGCUGGGCACGGGGGAUCCUGAGCCCCUGUCCUGAGAAGCAUCUCAAAGGGCGUGUCCAUGGAGCAGCCUUUCAUAGCAGGCCCUGAAGGUGGGCAAGGGCAGCAACCCCCGACGCUGGCCCUGUCAUCUGCACAGCCACCCCCCCCUCCACCCAACGCUGGCCCUGUCAUCUGCAUGGUCCAUGAGCUCCCAUUGCAGAAUCGAGGGAACCCUCUGCUGCCAUCUGGGCCUGUCCUGCAGCCUGGGCCCUGUGGCAGCAUCUCCUGGAAGCCUUUGGCUCUUGGUGCCAACAUGGGCUCCCUGGCCUCUCCCAGUGCCCCACCCGCCCUCUCCGUCCUGUCCUUCUUGCCUCCUCUUUCCAGCCC
rnacentral:lncRNA from 1 species